rnacentral:tRNA from 1 species
GCCUGGGUGGCUCAGUUGGUUAAGCAUCUGCCUUCAGCUCAGGUGAUGAAGCCAGGGUCGUGGGUUCGAGUCCCACAUCGGACU